AGAGAACUCGAAUGACUGACGGAGCCGUUUAGGUUGGCCCAGCAGAGAGUCUCACUGUGUCGUCCAAGCUGGAGUAGAGUGGCACGAUCUGGGCUCACUGCAACCUCCGCCUCCUGGGUUCUAGAGAUUCCCCUGCCUCAACCUCCCAAGUAGCUGAGAUUACAGGUGGAAAACUACAUCUUGAGGAGUUUAGUUACAUAUCUGAUAGGUUGCAGUGCUCCAGCUAGAACUCAGGAAAGACGAGAAGGUACAAGAAAAUGUUGAUGAAGAAUUGACUGUGAUAGCCAUGGAACACACCUUGUUUAAUUUUUGUCCUCACAAUAAUCUUAUGUCGUUGGCAGAUCCCUAUUUUUAUUCCCGCACAGCUUUAUUGAGAAAUAAUUGACAAACAAAAUUGUAGAAGUUUAAGGUGUACGACCCAUGAUUUGAUAUACAUAUACAUAUAUACUAUGAAAUGACUACCACAAUCAACUUAGUCAACACAUCUAUCACCUCACCUACUUACCUUUUUUUUUUUUGGUUUUGUUUUGUGGUGAGAACAUUUAAGAUCUGUCAGCAAAUUUCAGCUAUACAAAUUGCGUGCAUUAAGUACAUUUACAAUGUUGUACAUCCAUUAUUACUAUUCAUUUCCAGAACUUUUUCAUCAUCCCAAACAGAAGCUCUAUGCCCAUUAAAUAACUCCUCGUGCUCCUUCCCAACUGCCCCUGGUAAUUUCUAUUCUACUUUCAGUCUGUAUGAAUUUGCCUAUUCUUGAUACUUAAUAUAAAUAGAAUAAUAAAAUAUUUGUCUUUCUA